ACUUAAAUUGAAGAGUUUGAUCAUGGCUCAGAUUGAACGCUGGCGGCAGGCCUAACACAUGCAAGUCGAGCGGUAGCACAGAGAGCUUGCUCUCGGGUGACGAGCGGCGGACGGGUGAGUAAUGUCUGGGAAACUGCCUGAUGGAGGGGGAUAACUACUGGAAACGGUAGCUAAUACCGCAUAACGUCGCAAGACCAAAGUGGGGGACCUUCGGGCCUCAUGCCAUCAGAUGUGCCCAGAUGGGAUUAGCUAGUAGGUGGGGUAACGGCUCACCUAGGCGACGAUCCCUAGCUGGUCUGAGAGGAUGACCAGCCACACUGGAACUGAGACACGGUCCAGACUCCUACGGGAGGCAGCAGUGGGGAAUAUUGCACAAUGGGCGCAAGCCUGA
rnacentral:rRNA from 1 species